rnacentral:rRNA from 1 species
UACGGGGGGGGCAAGCGUUGUUCGGAAUUACUGGGCGUAAAGGGCUCGUAGGUGGCCAACUAAGUCAGACGUGAAAUCCCUCGGCUUAACCGGGGAACUGCGUCUGAUACUGGAUGGCUUGAGGUUGGGAGAGGGAUGCGGAAUUCCAGGUGUAGCGGUGAAAUGCGUAGAUAUCUGGAGGAACACCGGUGGCGAAGGCGGGUCUGCUGGACAGUUCCUGACGCUGAGGCACGAAGGUCAGGGGAGCAAACGGG